rnacentral:lncRNA from 1 species
GACGAAGGAACACAAGAUGAGUGGGAAAGUGAGUGGAAAGGUGAAAUGGUUCAACGAUCAGAAGGGGUUUGGGUUCAUAACCCCUGAUGAUGGUUCCGAGGAUCUUUUCGUUCAUCAAUCUCAGAUCAAAUCUGACGGUUUCCGAAGCCUUGCUGAGGGAGAAUCCGUUGAGUUUGCCAUCGAAUCUGACUCUGACGGACGCGCUAAGGCUGUUGAUGUCACCGGUCCUGAUGGUGCCAGUGUCCAGGGAACCCGUCGCGGCGGUGAUGGUGGCCGUGGAUAUGGCGGUGGACGUGGUGGUGGAGGAGGCGGUGGCUAUGGCGGUGGUGGAUAUGGUGGAGGCGGUGGUGGCUAUGGCGGUGGUGGACGAGGUGGAGGCGGUGGCGGUGGUGCAUGCUACAACUGUGGUGAAUCCGGUCACCUUGCUAGGGAUUGCUUCCAAGGAGGCGGUGGAGACAGGUAUGGCGGAGGAGGUGGCGGCGGUGGAAGGUAUGGCGGAGGAGGCGGUGGCGGUGGAAGGUAUGGCGGAGGAGGUGGAGGAGGCGGUGGCGGUGGAAGCUGCUACAACUGUGGAGAGUCAGGGCACUUUGCCAGAGAAUGCCCAACUAAUGCUCGUUGAAGUUUGUUUUAGGGUUUUAUGUUUAUGAUUUGCUUUUAAGGUUUUACUUGAAGAUGUUUAGGAUUUCAGUGGCGCAUGUGUUAUGAAUUUUCAUUAGUAGAAUAGGUGUGUGGGAUUUUGUUUCUCUUUUGGCAAUCAGAUGUUCAUGCGGUCUUAUUACAAAUCUGCAAGCAAGAUCAGAUCUGGCUGGAUUUAUAUUUUGUUAUGGACUUAAAUUUUGUUGUGUUGCAUGGUGAAUUAUUGCUGGUUUAAUAUGAUUCUUUGAGAGUCUUGUUAUGAAGAUUGAAUAUUAUAAUCAGGCGAUAUAUGUUUGCAUGAAUGUUUUCACAGGUUCUUUGUAGUCAUUUGUUUUGAUAGACAUUUAAUAUUUAUCGCAUUUCACAAGAAAUCAC